rnacentral:rRNA from 1 species
AAGGGCACCACAAGAACGCGUGGAGCAUGUGGCUUAAUUUGACUCAACGCGGGAAAUCUUACCGGGUCCGGACACACUGAGGAUUGACAGAUAUACGCUCAUUUGCAUGUGCUUCGGCGCUGCAUUUGAGCUGAAAGAUGCUAGUUCUUUCAUGAUUAUGUGAUAGGUGGUGCAUGGCCGUUCUUAGUUCGUGGAGUGAUCUGUCUGCUUAAUUGCGUAUCAAUAAUAGAGACCUAGUAUACGCGUGGAUUUCGCGUGGUAGUGACCCCCUGUUCGCGCAGGCGUGUGUCGCACACGCGUGCCGCGCACUGGUCUCAGAUAGCAACGAACGUGACCGUAUUCUAUUGUUGCAGUGAAAUGUACUUUCGAGUACGACCCACUGCUUAGUAUAUGCACGUGCUUCGGUGCGAGCAAUAUACAUUAAACUAUAGAGACCGCUGUUUCUUCUUUAACCAGAGGAAGGAUACGGCAAUAACAGGUCUGUGAUGCCCUCAGAUGUUCCGGGCUGCACACGUGCUACAAUGAUCAUUGCACUGUGCAUCUAACCCAAUGUGCGUGGACGCCGCAUGUAUGUACUCCUUGUGGGUACACGCAUUGCUGAGCGACCACGCCGAACCUACUUCGAAAGUAAAAUUUCUCUGUGGGUAAUCCAUUAGAAGUAAUGACUCGCAUAGACCAUGGCACAACUAUAUGUACGCGCAGGUCUACCCGGCUCGCCUUUGUGUGAGUGCAGUGCGUAGCUUGUUGUUUCGUACGUGCCACUCCGUAUUAAUUCGUACGUGGGGAUAGAUCAUUGUUUAAUUGUUGGUCUCGGUCUUAACUAGGAAUGCCUUGUACGGGUCUCUGGUUCAACAUACCACCCGGAAUACGUCCCUGCCCUUUGUACACACCGCCCGUCGCUCUUACCGAUGGAUUAUGCUAUGAAUCUAUAGGACUGCCAAAGUUGCCUCGGCUGCUUAGUGGAAAUAUAUAUGAAUAGCGUGAUCUAAAGGAAAGAGAAGUCGUAACAAGGCAUCA